rnacentral:lncRNA from 1 species
CAGAGGAGCCAGCAGAAGACAGCAAGCCCUUGGUAUAGAUAGAGAAGCCAUGGAUGAAAAGAAGCAGGCCUAAAUGGCAGAGCAAAGUAACAUAGCAUUCCUCUCUACUAUCAUCCUGUACUGGAUAGGCCCCCACAAAUAAUCCUGUAUUUUGGUAAACCAAUGCUUGAGGAAGACAUGCUAGAGCAAAAACUACAACUCUAGUCCUCUUGGAUAUUUUAGAUAAGGACUUUACCCACAUAAAAAAGGUGUUGCCCUGGGGACUGGCUGAGAGAAAUUACAGACUGUUACUCACUUCAAAAGAAACUGACUUUGCUACAAUGGUACUUACGUCACCAGAAACCAACACUUCCACAAAGAAUUUGAUUUGAUGGCAUCAUGUGGACAUAGAACUCUCAUAGUAAUGACCCAACCUGUGUUUCCAGUCAUCCUGAUGAACUCUCAACAAAAUCAGAUUGUUAUACUGUUGUUCUCACUUUACACCCAUAUUUUCUCUUGCUCCUAAAAAAGGUAUCUGGUAUUAAAUAGAAUUCUGUAUCUUAAAAACUUGCCAUUGAGAAAAAUGAGAAGUAAUUGUACAUUUUAAUACUGAAGGUUUUAAUAAAAAAAAGCAAUGUGAA